CGGCGCCUCCUUUACUCGGUUCUUGACUGAGAUGGAUUUCCUUCGUUUCGCAGUUGUCUCAAGAUGAUGUAGCAGAGCUAAGAUCUCCUAGUGAAAUGAUGAUGAUGACACGAAAGAGGCUCCAACUGUGCUGUUCCACUACAGAGGUCUUCAUUGGGUUGAUUGGAAAAAGAUGUUCAGAAGAGGACUAUUAUCAUAUUUUGUACUCCCUGACGGCCAUGCAGCCGAAACACGUCGGAGUUUAUAAACUUUGUUUCCAUUGAGCAUGCCAUACAAAUAAAGUCAUUUUAAUUCAUUA